UACGGAGGGUGCGAGCGUUGUCCGGAAUCACUGGGCGUAAAGGGCGCGUAGGUGGCGCGGGCAGUCAACGGUGAAAGUUCGGGGCUCAACCCUGAAUCGGCCGUCGAUACUCCCGGGCUGGAGCACUGUAGAGGCUAAUGGAAUUCCGGGUGUAGCGGUGGAAUGCGUAGAGAUCCGGAGGAAGACCGGUGGCGAAGGCGGUCUGCUGGGCAGUUUCUGGACACUGAGGCGCGACAGCGUGGGGAGCAAACAGG
rnacentral:rRNA from 1 species